rnacentral:lncRNA from 1 species
GGCGGUGGCACCCGCGCCUCGCCAACCGGGCUCCUCCUCCUGCUUCUCCUCCCAACCCACCGAGCCCUGACACCCGCUCCGCGGGGUCCCCGCCCCAGUGCCCUCCGGGCAGGAGCCGGGACUGGACACCGAACCGGGAAAGGCGCUGCGCUCCAGGUGGCAUCGCCCUGGGAGCGAUGGGGGUCUUGCUUGCCGCCGUGCGCCCUCGCGGGAUUCGAUCCGUCUGCCCUCUUCUCCACGGGCUUCCCGCCCGCAGCAGCUGUCUCCGGACACGCACAUUCAUUCACACAGCCGCUAGCAAACCCAUUCUUGUGACUCCCAGGGACCCGAGGAGCCACGGCGCGGAGAGAUACUGUACAACAGACAAGCUAAUGGAACAACUUUGAGACUGCACUGUUAAAGAUCCAACUGGCAAGCUUCUGACAUUUCCAGUGAAAGAAGCUGUCUUCUAUUUUCCUGUCCUUUGGAUGAUGGAGUCAACCAGAUGUUACUCUGUUGCAAUUACAGGACAGAGCACCCCGCUUCUUCCUGUCAACUGGACACCAUCCAGAGCUCCAAGCGGGCACCUGCAUUUCCUGAAGGACACCUAUAGUUCACUGUCACAUGGGCUUUCCCAGCAUGGCCACUGACUUCAUGAAGCCAGCAAGGAGAUUCACCUGGCAGAACAAACUCUGAUGUAACAGAGUCACACAGGGACCACAACAAAUGUGCACAUCUUAUUGGCCAGAAAGCUGAUCACAGGCUUCACAUAUGCUCAAGGAAAGGGUAUUAUACAGGGGCAUGAACAGUAGGAUAAGUCUGUCCAUUCCAGUGGAUAAAAGGAUCCAUUAUGCCAUUCUUAUCCAUUGUACCUACUUAUGCUUAUGUUUAGAUUUUCCAUAAUGAAAAUAAAUAAAUCAUUUAUUUUAAAUUAUAUAUGUGCUGGGCUGAGCAGGAGGAUCACAGGUUAGAGCUCAACCUAGCAAGACUCUUUCAAAAACUAAUUUAAAAGGGCUGGAGCUAUGCUUCAAUGGGAAAGCCAUGGUUUCAAUCCCCAGUACCACUCACACACACAUACACAAAAAGUUCAAGGCCAGCCUGAGCAACUUAGCAAGAUAGCAAAACAAUGUCUCAGAAUAAUUUUUUAAAGUGUUGGAGAUAUAGCCCAAUACUCCCUAGCUUCAAUCCUCAGCACUGCCAA